CCUACGGGAGGCUGCAGUGAGGAAUAUUGGUCAAUGGACGAGAGUCUGAACCAGCCAAGUAGCGUGAAGGAUGACUGCCCUAUGGGUUGUAAACUUCUUUUAUAUGGGAAUAAAACGUUCCACGUGUGGGAUUUUGUAUGUAACAUAUGAAUAAGGAUCGGCUAACUCCGUGCCAGCAGCCGCGGUAAUACGGAGGAUCCGAGCGUUAUCCGGAUUUAUUGGGUUUAAAGGGAUCGUAGGUGGAUUGUUAAGGCAGUUGUGAAAGUUUGCGGCUCAACCGUAAAAUUGCAGUUGAAACUGGCAGUCUUGAGUACAGUAGAGGUGGGCGGAAUUCGUGGUGUAGCGGUGAAAUGCUUAGAUAUCACGAAGAACUCCGAUUGCGAAGGCAGUUCACUGGACUGCAACUGACACUGAGGCUCGAAAGUGUGGGUAUCAAACAGGAUUAGAUACCCGGGUAGUC
rnacentral:rRNA from 1 species